CUGUAUUGAUUAUUAAUUUUUUCCAAGGUGCUUUCCGGGAAGGGACUCAACUUGUCAUAAUGUAAUAUUAUUCUAUAAUUAUAGCAAUAUUGUUUUGUCAUCUAUAGAAAUUUUGUUAUGCAAUCGGUAAUGAGCCUUUAACGUUUAAAUUCGAUGAACGAAACUACCAAUUUCGUUCUUCGGAUAUCAAAAGAAUGAUAUUCCUUAAACGUAUCAUUAUGAAUAAGUUCGAGGUAUUUCUACUUAUCGUUUUCCUUGACGCUAUCGUCCUUUUUCCUCGUUAUUAUCGCUAUCGUGAAUUUUGCUUAUAGAUAUACAUAGUUACGCCUAUUUAAUGACAGUGUAUAUUCAUAGCUUUGUAUUUUCUAUUUGAUAAAUGUAGCGAUGUUUUGUAACUACCGGAGCUAGGUAAGAAAAAGUCGACGGUCGAAGAAGGAGGGAGCCGGCGGCGUGACGCGGAUGGAUCGCGAAUAAAUCGGAAAGAGAAGUCACGGGAACGAUUUAUCAAGAUGAUUCGUUCUCUUUCGGGAGCGGCGGCACGGACAGAAAUCGGAACGACUUGUUCGAGGAGAUGGAACGGAGAGAUCUUGACUUAAACAGAUUUGAUCUCUGGACAGCUCGGUUAAGUGGACACAAUGCGAGCGGGAAGGAUUUUAAUAAAUCAAGCAGCCACCGACUCGAAGGGCUCGACGUCCACGCAUUUGCUUAAAUGAUAAAAGAAGUUUUUAUCUGAAGUUUCUAACUGACACUAUAAAUAGUUAAUUUUGCAUAAAAUUCUGUAAUCUAGAUAUUUCAUGUGUAUUAUAUACUUCUUACGAAAAUCAUCAGUCUACUUACAAAGAUUCUCCUUGCUAGAAUACGACAGCAUCGGUAAUGUAAUUAUAUUGUAACCAGUAAUUCACAAACUCAAUAGCUUGCAGAUUAAUCAAAUUUCAGUUUGAUGCAAAAGCUUAGGAAGCGUAGGACUUGCAUAUAACUGCUGUUACGUAAUUUACAUCGAAGGAGUGAACAAGAGUUGAUGUAAGUAUAUUAAAUAGUACGAGGGAUUAAAGGAUUGAAUGAAUAUGAAGGAGCGUUGUUUUAACUUUAAUCAUUCACACCGGUAGCACAACGGACGUCAGUCGAGUGCGUUAUGUAUGCAAAUCGUUGUCGAAAGUUUUUAAUGAAAAUUUGUAAUCUGGAAUCUUGUAAGAACUUUUGUACUCUUUCCGGAUGCAACGAAAAUGUUAAUGAACUGCGCUUCGAUGUCGAGCGUCUGUUGCGGCUCGUUCCAUUUGCAUAUCAACAUUCCCUUUCUGUUCUCCCAACGGAUUCAAUAUUUCCCUUUUCCCAAUAAUUUUGUAAUGGAUUUAGGAGAUGAGAAGUGAUAAAUUUAAUGGCGAUUAUAGUUAACGUGAUUAUUGAUAUAAUUGGUAGAAUUACGAUAUGUCGAACGUGAUAUUUAAUUUCGGUGGAAAUAUGUAUAUCCCGAAUUUUCAGCCGCGAGAAGGUGCUUGGCACGAUCGAUGAGAUCUGUAAGAAUGAACGGAACUCUGCCCUGGCUCGACUGAAAUUAAAUUCAAGCAAGACAAAUGGAGGCGCCAAGCUCCCGCGAACAUGUGAAAUGUAAAUUAGUUUGAAUUAAAGCCGGCUGCGAACGGCCAGGUUUCUAUAAAUAGGCCUCCUACCCCGUUGGUUAAUUUUCACCAAGUGGCAGUGAUUCGUGUCUAGCUUCUAGUUUUAAAAUAAUACAUACAUAAAAAAGGUGUUCAUAAUUCAACUUUUAAUUCGUUUAAUAUCUUUCAAUCAAAAUUUGCUUAGAACUAAAUUUGAAGAUUUACAUAAUUUCUGUUCCUGAUAAUAAUAAUGUACAAUUACUUUACACAACAUUGUACCUGACAAUAAUAAUAUAUGUAUAAUUUCUUUA